GGGGGGCGACCCUAGCUUUUGG
rnacentral:miRNA from 1 species